GAGGGGCAUGUGAGGGCUGUCGCUGACUCAAAGUCGUGCACGCCCGAGUGUGUCCUCUCACAUAAUAAUCCAUCUCACCCUUUGUGCAUCGCCGCGUGAGCACCCUUUGGGAUCAUCUCGGAGGGGGCUCGCGUUUUCACACAAACCCCCCUUUUAAAAGUGUAGAAUGACCUCAUUUAUGCGCUAACACGCAAUCAAUACAACUUUCAACAACGGAUCUCUUGGCUCUCGCAUCGAUGAAGAACGCAGCGAAAUGCGAUACGUAAUGUGAAUUGCAGAAUUCAGUGAAUCAUCGAAUCUUUGAACGCACCUUGCGCCCCUUGGUAUUCCGAGGGGCACACCCGUUUGAGUGUCGUGAAAACCUCAACCUCCUUGGUUUCUUCUGGAGACCAAAGGCAGGCUUGGACUUUGGAGGCCCUUGCUGGAACCUCUCUCUUUUGAAGGCCAGCUCCUCUUAAACGAAUUAGCAGGGUCCUCUUUGCCGAUCCUCGACGUGUGAUAAGAUGUUUCCAUGUCUUGGUUUCUGGCUCUGUCACUUUUGGGACCCGCUUCUAACCGUCUUGACCUUGCAUCGAGACAAUGUUCGAGCAUGUCUCCCUUCUCGGGAAGCUCCCUCGACCCCACGAACCCUUGACCUCAAAUCGGGUGAGACUACCCGCUGAACUUAAGCAUAUCAAUAAGCGGAGGAAAAGAAACUAACAAGGAUUCCCCUAGUAACUGCGAGUGAAGCGGGAAAAGCUCAAUUUAAAAUCUGGCGGUCUUUGGCCGUCCGAGUUGUAAUUUARAGAAGCGUCUUCCGCGCUG
rnacentral:rRNA from 1 species